GCAGUUUAAUUGGAUUCAACGCCGGAAAUCUCACCGGGGGCGACAGCAUGAUGAAGGCCAGGCUGAAGUCCUUGCCUGAUCCGCUGAGAGGUGGUGCAUGGCCGUCGUCAGUUCGUACUGUGAAGCAUCCUGUUAAGUCAGGCAACGAGCGAGACCCACGCCCACAGUUGCCAGCGAGCCCUUCGGGGUGGCGGGUACUCUGUGGGGACCGCCGCUGCUAAAGCGGAGGAAGGAAUGGGCAACGGUAGGUCAGUAUGCCCCGAAUCUCCCGGGCUACACGCGGGCUACAAUGGUCGGUACAAUGGGUAUCUACCCCGAAAGGGGAAGGAAAUCUCUUAAAGCCAAUCGUAGUUCGGAUUGAGGGCUGCAACUCGCCCUCAUGAAGCUGGAAUCCGUAGUAAUCGCGUUUCAACAGAACGCGGUGAAUACGUCCCUGCUCCUUGCACACACCGCCCGUCAAACCACCCGAGUAGGGUCCGGAUGAGGGUGCGCCAUGUUGACGCAUUCGAAUCUGGGCUAAAAAGGGGGGUUAAGUCGUAACAAGGUAACCAAGGGCGAA
rnacentral:rRNA from 1 species